AAAAAAAAAAAAAAGAAAAAAAAAAAAGAGGGCAGCCUCGAAUCAAGGUCUAUAAUUCAUCUGGAAUGAAGAAAAAAAAGUUUGAGAGAGCUACUGUGUAUAGGCAAAAGAAGUUUCCUCCAGAGACAGGAAUACCAACCUCUGCUGAAGAUUUGCAGGCCCUCUUCUACUCUUUACCACUUUUACUAAACCUGUCACAAGCUGAGCGCUCCUCAAGAGAGUCCCUGUAGUCGAGCUCUUGGUCCUUGUAACCAGCAAGAGCUGAAUAAAGUACCAGAGAAGACCCAGUCUGCUGGGUCCUUUCAAUGUACAAGAAUCUCUUUUUCUUGGAUUGUAUGUGAGGCAGUCAAGCUGAGAGGAUCCUCACAAACAGAAGAGUACGACAUGCCCACAUUGAUCAUUUCCAGCACUUGGCAUCUUCUGUGCCACGAAACUGCUGAUGGUGUAUCAGCCAAGAUGCAACACUAAAAGUAUUUCAGUAAUGGCCAAGGAACCAACAACUGAGCAGCAGGCACUGAAUAUCAUUUGGAAAGCAUAUCCUUUUUAGUUCACAGGUGGCGUGAGGAGGAACAAUUGCCUUGAAAAUUACAGCAGUUCAGCAAUUUCUUCAAAUUGACAUAAAUCAAGGAAUAACUACUUAGAAUAACCAACUCCUUACUCCAGGACAUGAUCAGAACUAGAAAAUUAUAUUGAAGCUGGGAAGAUGAAGAGAUGUUUGGAUAUGCUGAGAUCACAUUUUUCAGCUGUAAGCACAGGAGUGCACAUUUUAACAACGGAGCAGAUGCUUCCAAUUAUCUGCAAUAAGGGACACUUGAAAAUCUAGCUGGUAUUAGGUGGUUGUCAGAAGGCGCUUGGAUAAGAAGAAAAGGAUGGAAAGUGCAGCAAAAUAAUUUUACUUUCAUAACACAUUAAUUUUAAGACUGCUCUACAAAUUGAAAAACUCGUGUGUAUUCUGAUGACUGAAAGCAAAACAAUCAAACUGGAAAUCUUAAUGUAGAGUGCUUUUCCUAUUUUAAACCAUGACAAACUUUACUCAUGAAAUAUUUCCUUUGAUGUUCUACAGUGUUAUUCAAAUUUAAAUAGAUUUACAUGUUUAACUGUGCCUACUGCUUGCUCAUGUCGUGCUUACAUGUGACCUGAAAAUAAGAUUCCCAUAGAA
rnacentral:lncRNA from 1 species